AACGCACCUUGCGCUCCUUGGUAUUCCGAGGAGCAUGCCUGUUUGAGUGUCAUUAAAUCAUCAAACCUUUCAAUUUCCAAAGAUUGGAAGGUUUGGAUGUGGGAGCGUUGUUGGCCUUUUCUUGGUCAGCUCUCCUCAAAUCUAUUAGCCGGGAAGCUUUUGUAACCUGUCUAUUGGUGUGAUAAUUAUCUAUACCAUUGACAGCUACACUUAGUAUAAGCAUUCUGCUUCUAACUGUCUACCUAAUGGACAAUUUUUGACAAUUUGACCUCAAAUCAGGUAGGACUACCCGCUGAACUUAA
rnacentral:misc_RNA from 1 species